GGAGCUUGCUCCUGGAUUCAGCGGCGGACGGGUGAGUAAUGCCUAGGAAUCUGCCUGGUAGUGGGGGACAACGUUUCGAAAGGAACGCUAAUACCGCAUACGUCCUACGGGAGAAAGCAGGGGACCUUCGGGCCUUGCGCUAUCAGAUGAGCCUAGGUCGGAUUAGCUAGUUGGUGAGGUAAUGGCUCACCAAGGCGACGAUCCGUAACUGGUCUGAGAGGAUGAUCAGUCACACUGGAACUGAGACACGGUCCAGACUCCUACGGGAGGCAGCAGUGGGGAAUAUUGGACAAUGGGCGAAAGCCUGAUCCAGCCAUGCCGCGUGUGUGAAGAAGGUCUUCGGAUUGUAAAGCACUUUAAGUUGGGAGGAAGGGUUGUAGAUUAAUACUCUGCAAUUUUGACGUUACCGACAGAAUAAGCACCGGCUAACUCUGUGCCAGCAGCCGCGGUAAUACAGAGGGUGCAAGCGUUAAUCGGAAUUACUGGGCGUAAAGCGCGCGUAGGUGGUUUGUUAAGUUGGAUGUGAAAUCCCCGGGCUCAACCUGGGAACUGCAUCCAAAACUGGCAAGCUAGAGUAUGGUAGAGGGUGGUGGAAUUUCCUGUGUAGCGGUGAAAUGCGUAGAUAUAGGAAGGAACACCAGUGGCGAAGGCGACCACCUGGACUGAUACUGACACUGAGGUGCGAAAGCGUGGGGGAGCAAACAGGAUUAGAUACCCUGGUAGUCCACGCCGUAAACGAUGUCAACUAGCCGUUGGGAGCCUUGAGCUCUUAGUGGCGCAGCUAACGCAUUAAGUUGACCGCCUGGGGAGUACGGCCGCAAGGUUAAAACUCAAAUGAAUUGACGGGGGCCCGCACAAGCGGUGGAGCAUGUGGUUUAAUUCGAAGCAACGCGAAGAACCUUACCAGGCCUUGACAUCCAAUGAACUUUCCAGAGAUGGAUUGGUGCCUUCGGGAACAUUGAGACAGGUGCUGCAUGGCUGUCGUCAGCUCGUGUCGUGAGAUGUUGGGUUAAGUCCCGUAACGAGCGCAACCCUUGUCCUUAGUUACCAGCACGUAAUGGUGGGCACUCUAAGGAGACUGCCGGUGACAAACCGGAGGAAGGUGGGGAUGACGUCAAGUCAUCAUGGCCCUUACGGCCUGGGCUACACACGUGCUACAAUGGUCGGUACAAAGGGUUGCCAAGCCGCGAGGUGGAGCUAAUCCCAUAAAACCGAUCGUAGUCCGGAUCGCAGUCUGCAACUCGACUGCGUGAAGUCGGAAUCGCUAGUAAUCGCGAAUCAGAAUGUCGCGGUGAAUACGUUCCCGGGCCUUGUACACACCGCCCGUCACACCAUGGGAGUGGGUUGCACCAGAAGUAGCUAGUCUAACCUUCGGGAGG
rnacentral:rRNA from 1 species